CCUACGGGUGACAGCAGUGAGGAAUAUUGGUCAAUGGGCGCGAGCCUGAACCAGCCAAGCAGCGUGAAGGAUGACUGCCUUCCGGGUUGUAAACUCCUUUUAUAAAGGAAUAAAGUGAGGCACGUGUGCCUUUUUGUCUGUACUUUAUGAAUAAGAAUCGCCUAACUCCGGCCCAGCAGCCGAGGUAAUACGGAGUGUCCUAGCGUUAUCCGGAUUUAUUGGGUGUAAAGGGAGCGUAGAUGGGUUGUUAAGUCAGUUGUGAAAGGUUGCGGCUCAAGCGUAAAAUUGCCAUUGAUACUGGCAGUCUUGAGUACAGUUGAGGUAGGAGGAAUGUGUGGUGUAGCGGUGAAAUGCGUACAUAUCACGAAGAACUCCGAUUGCGAAGGCAGCUUACUAAACUGCCACUGACAUUGAUGCUCGAAAGCGUGGGUAUCAAACAGGAUUAGAUACCCGAGUAGUC
rnacentral:rRNA from 1 species